CUUUGCGCCGAAAUUCGACGAGGUCGUGUCGGCGGAAGAUCUCUGCGAGCACGACGAACUGGAGCGCCUGCGCAGCUAUCUCGACAAGCAGCUCGCGCAUCUGCAGCACAUCGUGGCGCGGCUCGCCAAUCGCCUGCAACGCAAGCUGAUGGCGCAGCAGAACCGCGCCUGGGAUUUCGAUCUCGAGGAAGGCAUUCUCGAUCCGGCGCGGCUGUCGCGCGUGGUCACCGAUCCAUUCCAUCCGCUGUCGUUCAUGCACGAGAAGGAAGCGACCUUCCGCGACACGGUGGUGACGA
rnacentral:misc_RNA from 1 species